rnacentral:rRNA from 1 species
CCUACGGGGGGCAGCAGUGAGGAAUAUUGGUCAAUGGGCGCGAGCCUGAACCAGCCAAGUCGCGUGAGGGAUGACGGCCCUACGGGUUGUAAACCUCUUUUGCCGGGGAGCAACGGGCGCCACGUGGGGCGCCACUGAGAGGACCCGUAGAAAAAGCAGCGGCAAACUCCGUGCCAGCAGCCGCGGUAAUACGGGGGAUGAGCGCGUUAACCGGUUUUAUUGGGUUAAAGGGGUGGGUAGGCGGAUCGUGAAGUCAGUGGUCAAAUUGAGGGGCUCAACCCCUGCCCGCCAUUUAAACUGGCGCUCUUGAGUGGAAGAGAAGUAUGCGGAAUGCGUGGUGUAGCGGUGACAUGCAUAGAUAUCACGCAGAACCCCGAUUGCGAAGGCAGCAUGCCGGCUUCCGACUGACGCUGAAGCACGAAAGCGUGGGGAUCGAACAGGAUUAGAUACCCCAGUAGUC